AUAUUUGCAGCUCAUUAGAGUUCCGUUUCAGGGAAGAUUCGCGUCUCCCGUCUCGCUAAGCACUUAGCGAUUCGUUAAGCACUUAGCGUUACGCAAAGCACUUAACGUUUCGUUAAGCACUUAGCGUAACGCUAAGGCGCGCAUAUGAAGAGGUUUGACUGGUUAUCAAAGAAGAAUCUCAGAGCAGGAUAUUUCUUAUGGGCAAUGAUUGCAUAUGGAUUAGGCACUUUGUUCACAUUGGAAAGAAAACGAGGAGAUCUCAUAAUCAUGUGGACUAGAGGAGAACCGGAGAGGCCUUGCCCACACCAUCAACUUGAAACCUCUCAAUAAAGAUCAUUCCUAACCACGAAUGAGAAUACUACUACUAGGCUGAUGUAACUCUUAGAACAUGUUCUCAUUAUAUAUACUUAUAUAGGUAGUUAUAUAACCUCUGUAAUUUUGUGUCCAACGGUGUCCAAAUAUGCUUCUUUUUAAAAAGAUUUUUUCAUAAAAACAAUGCUAAACACAAAGAUUACAUCGACUAUAUCUAGAGUUGUUAUUUGUUAAUCUGAAAAAAAUACUGAAUUCCAAUCCA